rnacentral:rRNA from 1 species
AACGAACGCUGGCGGCAGGCCUAACACAUGCAAGUCGAGCGAGGACUUCGGUUCUAGCGGCGGACGGGUGAGUAACGCGUGGGAAUGUGCCCUUCUCUACGGAAUAGCCCUGGGAAACUGGGAGUAAUACCGUAUACGCCCUUUUGGGGAAAGAUUUAUCGGAGAAGGAUCAGCCCGCGUUGGAUUAGGUAGUUGGUGGGGUAAUGGCCUACCAAGCCGACGAUCCAUAGCUGGUUUGAGAGGAUGAUCAGCCACACUGGGACUGAGACACGGCCCAGACUCCUACGGGAGGCAGCAGUGGGGAAUCUUAGACAAUGGGCGCAACCCUGAUCUAGCCAUGCCGCGUGAGUGAUGAAGGCCUUAGGGUUGUAAAGCUCUUUCAGCUGGGAAGAUAAUGACGGUACCAGCAGAAGAAGCCCCGGCUAACUCCGUG